rnacentral:lncRNA from 1 species
CAUUUUCUUUGUUGCCUAGUUAACCCUAAAACACUUCCCUCGACACUAACGCGCCACCGCGAACUGCGAUCUGCACGUUCAAACUCCAAGGGAGUGGUUUUCGGCCUUGAGAUCCCCUUUAGAUUCCGAUUUCAACGGAAUGAAGGGGAAACGAUGGCCAACUCGCGAGGUAACCUUCUCUUUCGCUUUCUUUUUUCUGUUUUUAUGAUUGAUUUCAAAAUAAAAAAGAAAAUAGAGGCGUAAAAAUAAAAAAGGGAACAACCUCUGAAGAAUAUUCAACUUCUCUGUAUUUGAUUGCUAUUCUUUUUUGUAUAUUACCCGUGUGUAAAAAAAGGAGUUUUUACAAUCAGAAACCAUAGGCUUUAUAGCCGAAUCAUAAAGAAAAAAAAAACAAUUUUUCUUUUUGUUGUUUUUGUUGCUGCUGUGUGGUCGUUUGUUUGCAGGUACGGAGUACGGGCGUGCGCUGGCCCUUGGCGUGAGGCGUACGGGGCUGUGUUGGCGCGGGUACGGGGGCCGUGCUGGAGGGUUGCGGCUACUAGGGAAACCCUAGGUUUCUGUUUAGCUGAAGUUGUUUUAGUUUUGGGCCGUUUGGGCGACGGGAUUUUGGGCUAGGGUUUUAGCUAAUGGAUUUUAAUUGGGUCUUGGGUUAUGUAUUUAAUUUUAGGUUUAGGAUUGUAAAAUGGGCUGAUGGACUGUUAAUAAAUAAUAUUUAUUGGAUUUUUAUUAUUAUUUGGUUUGGAGUUAAUGGGCCGGGCAAAUUGGGUUAUCUACAAUUUAAAUGGUUAAAUAUGCAUAUCAAAAACAAAAUUAAAAAAUACUUUCGAAAAAUCAAUUGAAGGAGUAAGAUGAGUUGGUAGCAAAAAGGAGGUAAUAGCGUUUUUUUGGCACUCAAUCUAGCUUGAUGGUUUGGUUUACUUGGUUCAAAGUAGCCGAAUGCCACAUGUCUUAGGCUCGAGGGUCAUGAGAAUGAAACAAGAAAAAAAUAGUGUUUUUUUAAAUAUUUAAUACGCUAAUACUUGAAUCAGAAUAAAAUAGGAUUAAUUUUAUCUUUGAUAUUUUUUAAACUUUUCACCCACUUUAGUAUGGAAAUCACGUCAUCAUAUUUAUGGAAUAGCAAUUCUCAAAGGGA